rnacentral:rRNA from 1 species
UACCUGGUUGAUCCUGCCAGUAGUCAUAUGCUUGUCUUAAGGAUUAAGCCAUGCAAGUCUAAGUAUAAGUUAUUAACAGCGAAACUGCGAAUGGCUCAUUAAAACAGUUAUAGUUUAUUUGAUAAUCAUUAGAUGGAUAACUUUAGGAAAUCUAGAGCUAAUACAUGCCUAAACGCCGGAUGUAUUUAUUUACUGAAGGCCGUAUUUAUUAGAUAUAAACCAAUCGGAACCCCUUCCGUUUUGACGAUUCAUAAUAACUUCUCUGACCGAGCCUUCGGGUGAGGUAGAUCAUUCAAGUUUCUGCCCUAUCAGCUUUAGAUGGUAGUGUAUUGGACUACCAUGGCGAUCACGGGUAACGGAGAAUUAGGGUUCGAUUCCGGAGAGGGAGCCUGAGAAACGGCUACCACAUCUACGGAAGGCAGCAGGCGCGUAAAUUACCCAAUCCUGACUCAGGGAGGUAGUGACAAGAAAUAUCGAAUCGGGUGUCUUUGACAUUGCGAGUUUGAAAUGAGAACAAUCUAAAAAACUUAUCGAGGAGCAAUUGGAGGGCAAGUCUGGUGCCAGCAGCCGCGGUAAUUCCAGCUCCGAUAGC